rnacentral:lncRNA from 1 species
GGGAGGCUACGGUGGUAUGAAUCAACAACCUAUGGGCAUGGGAAUGGGGAUGAACAUGGGUAUGAACCCAGGCAUGGGGAUGAACAACAUGGGCAUGAAUCCAGGCAUGGGGAUGAGCAAUAUGGGCAUGAAUCCAGGCAUGGGGAUGAGCAAUAUGGGCAUGAAUCAAGGCAUGGGGAUGAACAUGGGCAUGAAUCCAGGCAUGGGGAUGAACAACAUGGGCAUGAAUCGAGGCAUGGAGAUGAACAAUAUAGGCAUGAG